rnacentral:rRNA from 1 species
UUCGGUCUGGCGGCGAGUGGCGAACGGGUGAGUAAAGUAUCGGAACGUGCCCAGUAGCGGGGGAUAACUACUCGAAAGAGUAGCUAAUACCGCAUACGCCCUACGGGGGAAAGGGGGGGAUCGCAAGACCUCUCACUAUUGGAGCGGCCGAUAUCGGAUUAGCUAGUUGGUGAGGUAAAGGCUCACCAAGGCGACGAUCCGUAGCUGGUUUGAGAGGACGACCAGCCACACUGGGACUGAGACACGGCCCAGACUCCUACGGGAGGCAGCAGUGGGGAAUUUUGGACAAUGGGGGCAACCCUGAUCCAGCCAUCCCGCGUGUGCGAUGAAGGCCUUCGGGUUGUAAAGCACUUUUGGCAGGAAAGAAAUCGCAUGGAUUAAUACUCUGUGUGGAUGACGGUACCUGCAGAAUAAGCACCGGCUAACUACGUGCCAGCAGCCUCGGUAAUACGUAGGGUGCAAGCGUUAAUCGGAAUUACUGGGCGUAAAGCGUGCGCAGGCGGUUCGGAAAGAAAGAUGUGAAAUCCCAGGGCUUAACCUUGGAACUGCAUUUUUAACUCCCGAGCUAGAGUGCGUCAGAGGGGGGUGGAAUUCCGCGUGUAGCAGUGAAAUGCGUAGAUAUGCGGAGGAACACCGAUGGCGAAGGCAGCCCCCUGGGAUGACACUGACGCUCAUGCACGAAAGCGUGGGGAGCAAACAG